rfam:Populus trichocarpa scaffold_2167_contig_1, whole genome shotgun sequence.
CACUGAAUAGUGUCUGGGCUGCAGGACAGAUUCGGACUUCUUCGUUGUUGCUACAAUUUAGACUUGAAAACGGCCUUUUUCAAUCUUGGACUCCCAUGAAAGU